rnacentral:rRNA from 1 species
GACGAACGCUGGCGGCGUGCUUAACACAUGCAAGUCGAACGGUAAGGCCCUUCGGGGUACACGAGUGGCGAACGGGUGAGUAACACGUGGGUGAUCUGCCCUGCACUUCGGGAUAAGCCUGGGAAACUGGGUCUAAUACCGGAUAGGACCACUGCCUGCAUGGGUGGUGGUGGAAAGCUUUUGCGGUGUGGGAUGGGCCCGCGGCCUAUCAGCUUGUUGGUGGGGUGAUGGCCUACCAAGGCGACGACGGGUAGCCGGCCUGAGAGGGUGACCGGCCACACUGGGACUGAGAUACGGCACAGACUCCUACGGGAGGCAGCAGUGGGGAAUAGUGCACAAUGGGCGCACGCCUGAUGCAGCGACGCCGCGUGAGGGAUGACGGCCUUCGGGUUGUAAACCUCUUUCAGCACAGACGAAGCGCAAGUGACGGUAUGUGCAGAAGAAGGACCGGCCAACUACGUGCCAGCCGCCGCAGUAA